rnacentral:rRNA from 1 species
GUACUCCGGGGAUAACAGGCUGAUACCGCCCAAGAGUUCAUAUCGACGGCGGUGUUUGGCACCUCGAUGUCGGCUCAUCACAUCCUGGGGCUGAAGUAGGUCCCAAGGGUAUGGCUGUUCGCCAUUUAAAGUGGUACGCGAGCUGGGUUUAGAACGUCGUGAGACAGUUCGGUCCCUAUCUGCCGUGGGCGCUGGAGAACUGAGGGGGGCUGCUCCUAGUACGAGAGGACCGGAGUGGACGCAUCACUGGUGUUCGGGUUGUCAUGCCAAUGGCACUGCCCGGUAGCUAAAUGCGGAAGAGAUAAGUGCUGAAAGCAUCUAAGCACGAAACUUGCCCCGAGAUGAGUUCUCCCU